rnacentral:tRNA from 1 species
GGAUUGUGACUCAAUGGUAGAGCACUUGCCUGGCAUGUGUGAGGCACUGAGUUCAAUUCUCAGCACCA